rnacentral:rRNA from 1 species
UACGAAGGGGGCUAGCGUUGCUCGGAAUCACUGGGCGUAAAGGGUGCGUAGGCGGGUCUUUAAGUCAGGGGUGAAAUCCUGGAGCUCAACUCUGGAACUGCCUUUGAUACUGGGUGUCUAGAGUAUGGAAGAGGUGAGUGGAAUUCCGAGUGUAGAGGUGAAAUUCGUAGAUAUCGGAGGAACACCAGUGGCGAAGGCGGCUCACUGGUCCAUUCUGACGCUGAGGCACGAAAAGCGUGGGGGAGCAAACAGG